UUGCACUACUGAAUUUGACAAAGUUGUCAUCUUUAAAACUCUAUGACAAUCAGUUCACAGGAACAAUUCCUCAUAACAUCACUUCACUAUCCAAAUUGACGACCUUUUAUGCAAGUAACAACGCUUUCACUGGAACCCUGCCUUCUUCUCUCUUCACCAUUCCUUCUAUUGAAGAUGUUAGAUUGUCUGAUAACCGAUUGACGAACUUGACCUUUCCCAUUACAAGACACAAGGUCCAGUUGACUUUAGCAUCUUCUCAUAUCUCAAGUGGCUAUAUAUUCUUGACCUAUCCUAUUUGAACACAACCACUGCCAUUGACUUGAAUGAUUUCUUGUCAUAUUUUAAGAGUCUCGGUGUGUUGGAUCUCUCAGGCAACCAUGUUUCAGCCACAAACAAGAGUACAAUUUCAGAUCCUUCUUCUUUGUAUCAGUUGCACUUGUCAGGCUGCGGUAUCACCGAGCUCCCGGAGUUUGUAAGAUUGCAAAAUAUGGAGAAGGUAGACAUUUCUAACAAUAAAAUCAAAGGAAAAGUGCCUGGCUGGUUAUGGAAGCUACCAAAUCUGUCUUACCUCGAUAUUUCCACCAACAAUUUCACCGGCUUCGAAAAUGCAACUAAACAUGGGCUAUCUUUAAUGACCUUGUUAGCCUCCAACAACAAUUUCAGUGGAAAGAUUCCCUCUUUCAUAUGUGAUUUGGGCUCUGUAGAAACUCUUGAUUUAUCAAACAACAACUUCAAUGGUUCAAUCCCUCGUUGUCUGGGUAAUCUCAACUAUACUCUUACAGAUCUAAACCUUGGUAAAAAUCGUCUCCAUGGAGGUCUUCCAGGGAAUAUAUUUGAAAGCUUAAGAGCGCUUGACGUCGGUCAUAACCAACUUACGGGAAAACUUCCAAUGUCUUUGAUCAAUUUCUCUAGUCUUGAAGUUCUGAACGUGGAAAGCAACAUUAUCAAUGAUACGUUUCCAAUCUGGUUGAGUUCUCUACCAGAGCUCAAUAUUCUUGUAUUACGCUCCAAUGCCUUCCACGGACCGAUACAUCAAACUUCCUUCCCUAAGUUGAAAAUCAUCGACAUAUCACACAAUCACUUCAAUGGAGCUUUGCCAUCAGACUUCUUUGUGAAGUGGAGUGCUAUGUCAUCACUUGGGACAGUUUAUGAUCAGCCGGAUGAAAUGUACAUGGGAUAUUACUAUUACCAUGAUUCAAUGGUGUUGAUGAAUAAAGGUUUAGGGAUGGAAUUUCAACGUAUCCUAAAAACUUUGAGAGCACUCGACUUUUCAGGAAACAAAUUUGAAGGAGAGAUCCCAAGGUCUAUCGGUCUAUUAAAAGAGCUUCUUAUGCUUAACUUGUCGAAUAAUGCUUUCACUGGCCACAUCCCUUCAUCUAUGGGAAACCUGACAGCUCUUGAGUCACUGGACGUUUCCCAAAACCAGCUUUCAGGAGAAAUUCCGCAAGAGCUAGGGAGUCUCUCAUUCCUUUCGUACAUGAACUUCUCGCAUAACCAGCUUACAGGUCUAGUACCAGGAGGCACUCAGUUUCAAAGGCUGAACUGCACUUCCUUUGAGGAUAAUCCGGGACUUUCUGGCCCUUCUCUUGACGAAAUUUGCAGAGAUAUUCACACGCCAACACCGCAUGAAACGUUGGAGUCAGAGGAAGAAGAAGAAGAGGAAGAGGUGUUGAGUUGGAUAGCAGCUGUAAUAGGAGUCAUACCUGGUAUUGCCUUUGGAUGGGCGAUUGGAUACAUACUUUUUUCGUACAAACCAGAGUGGUUCAUCAACCCUUUUGCCCGAAACAAGUGCAGAAUCAGCAGCACCACAACUCAUUAAAAAGGUAAUUUUCAAGAGUUUUAAAUCAACUUGUUAGAAAACACUGGAAGAAACAAAAAUAUUAAUAGUGAAAUCACCUGAGUUAACCUUUUCUUUUUUUGGUACAGGUCUUUUAUAAGCUACCUGAGGAAUCUGGAAGAAGAAAUCCAAAGGACCACUAUGUCUAUCCGUAUCAAAUAAGAUUUGGGAUAUCGUUUCUGGUUUAGCUUGGUGUGUUUUUUCUCUAUCUCUAUUUUUUUACGUUUUAGCAAACUUCUUUGUUUCUCUGUAAUUGAACAACAACUAUGCUUCUUACGCUGAAAAUUACAAGCACAGUCAAAGAUGUAUCGUUUUUCCCCCUCUUGUGAAUCUUAACAUCAACUGUUUAGACGUUAGAUGAGCAAUGAACAGAUGAUCCAGAUAAAAGCUAUAAUCAACACAGGGCUUUAGAAAAGGAUGUACAUAUUAUAUAUGGAUAUUUCGAUUGUUCAUAUCAAUGAGACACAUUAAUUCAUAGAAACUAUAGACUUUGCAAAUAUAAUUAUCAAGAUUCCAUUUUGUGUAUAUACGAAGUUCAAAAGGUUUUAAGCUUAUGAUUUUCGAAUGUGACAAUACAAAAUAAUAAAAAAAGUUUGCGUUGAUUUAUCUUGUGAUUGGUAAUAUUCUCAUUGAUAAUGAAUGAUGAGUAGAAGAGGAAGAGAAAUGGCUAGUAAAGGCCUAAAGGGGUCUUGUUUUCUCCAUGUCCACACUCUCUUGUUUCUAAUUCAACCUUUGAUUGUUUGAUUAAAUAUUUAUAAUCUAAAUUAACAAUAACCAAAUAUAUAUAUACUCAUUUAAAAUUGGGAAAAUUGCUAAAAGAGAACAAAAAAACAAGGUUGUUGUCCCUUUAGUAUAAAACCAACAUAAAGUUGUCUCAAUAGUAUAAUUUUUCUCAUAAUCCCAAAACUAACCCUAUAUUUAAUCUAAUUAAACACAAUUUAAAAGUUAAUUUGAAUUUUAAAAAAAAAGUUAAUGGAAAAAAGGUAAAAAACAGUAGAAAGGCAAUCGAAAAAAAAAAGAGGUAUAGAUAUGCAUCAUAGAGAACAAGAGUUUGUGAGAAGAAUCAAAAGAAAAACUAUGGAAAAACCAUAGAUUGAUGAAGAAGAGAAGGAAUAAUCGUUUUUUUUUAAAUUUUUUAAGUAAAAUCGACCAUAACACGUUUUAGAAAGUUAAAAUAUUUCUAAGAGAUUUUUAGAAUAUUUUCUUAACUGAAAUUUCAUUAAUUUUCGCAAAAAAUCAAGUAUUCUUAUCCGUAGAAGGCGACUUCUAAAAGUUUAGAAGAAUGAUAAAAAUUCUGAAUACACUUUCUACUUUGAGUAGACGUAAGAUUACAUUGUAGAAAACACAUUCCUCGAAAUUUAGAAUACUUUAUAAAAGUAGAAGAUGCAUUCGGAAGGAAAGUGGAUACCUUUACGAUUAGUAGAAUGUGCAUUCCUCUUUUUUAGAAAUUUAGUAAAUAGUAAAAUGAACGUUCUAAAAGAAGUAGAUGAACGUGUUUAUUUUAGAAAUCGUUUUCUACUAUACCAUUUUUCAUAGAAGACGCAUUCUACUUUUAGUAGAACGUAUUUUAAAAAUCUUAUUUACCAAAUUUUUGAGCAAAAGAAAAUUACCAGCUUGUGUAUAUGGAUGUUUUAUUAAUUUUUUAUAUUUUUAAUAAUUUUUUUGAUUCAUAAAAUUAUUUAUUUCAUUAGUUUUCAGAAAUACAAAGGGUAAAAAGGAGAAAAACUAGACAAAAUUAGUUUUAUACUAAAAGGACAACAACCUAAUUUUUUUGUUCUCUUUUGGCAAUUUUCCCUUUAAAAUUUGGGUUUAACGAUCAUUAUCCAUUUGAUAAGAAAAUUCCUCUUGGAUCUUUCUUUUUAUAUUUUUCCUGACUGACUUUUUAAUCGAAUCCAAGUCUUGCUUCUCUUUGUUUUGGUGUCCACGAUCUCAAAAAAGAAACAGCCAACUGAUUGGUCACUUUCACAAUCCCUCUGGUACGUUAUCCUUUGAUUUUUCAACAUUAUACUUAAAGCUCAAUACCAAAAUCUCAAAGAUAAGCCACUACAUGAUCAUGAUGUGUGUGACCUACGAGCUUGGACUCGAACCCACGAGCCAAUCAUGUAACUAGCAAUGAAAAGAUCAAGCCAACACAAAUGAUGAAUAGGCCCAUGCCUUGCCCCCAUUCUGUUCCCUUCUUAAUUAAUCUACAAAAACAAAAUCUUCUUCAGAAGAAGAUGCGUGAGCUUCAACACGAUAAAGAUUGAUGCAAAGUCAUAUAAGCAAACAGCCAAAUCAAUAGCUUGGUGGGUUUGGUCUUCCAAAAGUAAAUUAUGGAAGAACAUGAAUGUCUCUGAUGUACAUUGUCCUGGAAAGAGAACUCUGAGACCUGAUUACGCAAAAGACUAAUUGCUGAUAACAAAAAAAGGAGAAAAGAACGCUAUUUGAAACUGCAGGCAUUGAUACAGAAACUAUCAUACAUUAAACACUUGACAAAAGUACAUGUUGAUAUGUCUGUCAGAUUACUACAAGAGUUUCUUUCACCAAUCUGCUUUGCUACCAAUGUACCCUAAAUAAGAUAAGUAAACACAAAAAAAAAAGCAUUACUCUAACUUGAAACCUAGUGAGUAAGAAUAAUAACAGUUUCUCCAAUCUCCAUGAGCUGAGCUCUCAGAUCCAACCAUUGCUCUACCAGAGUAUAGCUUCUCCACAAAACUAAUCUCUACAACUUCUUCCCUGUACAACAACAGCACAAUUCAAGUUUUCAGUAACUCAAUUGAGUAGAUGCUCAAAGUUAUGGUUCCAAAUCAACAAUCUCAAGCCUCACAAGCUUAAAGAUUCAUCUUUACAAGCACAUAAAAAUGAAAACUUUCCUUUCUGCCUUCAACUUAGCCACAUCGUUUAUCAACCUGCCUUUAACUAGACAAGUCGAAAAUAUAACCCUCUGAGCAAUCUAGAAGGUUACGUAUGACGUCCUAUGUUCUGAGCCAAUUCGAAUCUUCGAGCCCUACAUCUUCAAUUCCGUCAAGUUUACGCUAGAUUGCUCUCCAGAGCCUCCUGGUACCACCAUUGUAGUAAUCGAAGUUGCGAGAGCAAAAGCCUUCUCAUGCCUACACUAAAGGUGAUGUAUUGCUCUAUUCAGGGUUGGCUCCUUUAUUCAGAGAAUAUAAAUAUUUUUAAAAUAAAUCUUGAUAAAAUAAUACAAAGCUCUUUUAAAUUUGGAAUAGGGCUAAUAGUAACAAUUCGCUUGCUAUGUUUCAGUUGAGUUUGUUGUUUUCUUGAAGCUGUUUCUGUCCUUUGUAUACUUGUGUGCGAUCUUGUUUGAUAAGUUUAUAGAGUUGGACAUGAAUGUAAUGAUGCUCUUGUAGGCUAAAUCAUCAAGCGUUGAAGCAUCUUUGAAGUAUAAGAAUAUUUUUUGGAUAUGGGACGGUUCUAUAUAGUUUAUGGCUGUGAGGAUUGUAUUUGCCGAAGUUCAAAAGACUUCCCACUCCUUUUAGUUCCCGUCUUUACUUUUCGACUCAAGACUGGCUUACGUUUUCUUCUUGCAAAGAAGGUUCUCUCAGACUUUUCUCUUGGUCUUCUCUCAAGCAAGUACACGAGCUGGUCUACACGGUAAGCUGGUAGUCUGAUAGACCUGUAUCAAUCAAUGAGGAGGCAACUGGGACAUAGUCUGCUUUCUGCAUUCAAGCAUACUAUUAAAUAUGACGAGAGAAAUAUCCACACAUGAACUUAAUAUCGAUUAGGAAAAUCAUUUUAGUGGUCAAGAACGAGUUUGAGGUUCUAGACUCUUCCUUUGCUUAUGAUUGUUAUUUUGAUAUAGUAAAGCUUCAUCCGAAAACGGAGUCAUGGGCGAAUAACAGCGACUGUUGUACUUGGGAGGGUAUCAAGUGCAACGUCAAGUCCGGUGAAGUGAUCGAGCUAGACCUUAGUUGCAGCUACCUAGGUGGCCGGUUUCAUUCCAAUAGCAGUCUUCAAAACCUUCAUUCUCUCACCACCCUAGACCUUUCAGGAAAUCGUUUUAGUGGUCAAAUCAUGUCUUCAAUUAAAAACCUUUCUCAUAUCACCUCUCUGGACCUUUCACUUAAUCAGUUCAGCGAGAACAUUCCUUCUUCGAUAGUAGACCUUUCGUAUCUCACCUAUCUCGAUCUUACAUAUAAUCGUUUUCCUGGUCAGAUUCCAUCUUCUAUUGGAAAUCUUUAUAACCUCACUUAUCUUGACCUUUUUGGGAACGAUAUUGUUGGCGAAAUCCCAUCUUCUUUUGGCAAUCUAAACCAGUUGACCAGCUUAAAUGUUUACUACAAUAAUCUCAAUGGAAGCUUUCCCAUUGCACUACUGAAUAUGAAAGAGUUGUCAUCUUUAAUGCUCAACGGCAAUGAGUUCACAGGCACAAUUCCUCCUAACAUCACUUCACUAUCCAAAUUGACGAAUUUUAUAGCAAGUUACAACGCUUUCACUGGGACCCUGCCUUCUUCUCUCUUCACCAUUCCUUCUAUGGAUCGUGUUGAUAUGUCUGAUAGCCAACUCAACGGUAUUCUUGAGUUUGGGAAUAUAUCUUCACUACCUAAGCUACGAGAGUUAGACAUUGGCCAAAACAACUUGAGAGGGCCAAUCCCGGAAACGAUAUCCAAAUUUACAAACCUUGUCCGACUUGGCCUUUCCAAUUACAAGACACAAGGUCCAGUUGACUUUAGUAUUUUCUCGCAUCUCAAGUGGCUUGAAUAUCUUGACUUAUCCUAUUUGAACAUGACCACUACGAUUGACUUGAAUGAUUUCUUGUCAUAUUAUAAGAGGCUCGAGAGGUUGGUUCUCUCAGGCAACCAUGUUACAGCCACAAACAAGAGUCCAGUUUUAAAUUCCCCUUUGUUGUAUAAGUUGCACUUGUCAGGCUGCGGUAUCACCGAGUUUCCUGAGUUUGUAAGAUCGCAAAAUAAAAUCAAAGGACAAGUGCCUGGCUGGUUAUGGACGCUACCAAAUCUUACUUACCUGAAUCUUUCCAACAACACUUUCACUGGCUUCGAAAACUCAACUACAGUUUCACCUUCAAGGCUAUAUAACAUAAACGUGCUUGCCUCAGACAACAAUUUCACGGGAAAGAUUCCCUCUUUCAUAUGUGAUUUGCCCUAUGUUAACACUCUUGAUUUAUCGAACAACAACUUCAGUGGUUUAAUCCCUCGUUGUCUGGGAAAUCUCAAGUAUUCUCUUGUACUUCUAAACCUUCGUCAGAAUCGUCUUCAUGGAGGUCUUCCAGAAAAUAUAUUUGAAAGCUUAAGAACGCUUGACAUCGGUCAUAACCAACUGACGGGAAAGCUUCCAAGAACUUUGAUUCAUUUUACUUCCAGAGCUAAAAGUUUUUGUAAUACGUACGCUCCAAUGCUUUCCAUGGACCGAUACAUCAAACUUCGUUUCCUAAUAAGUUGCAAAUCAUGGACAUAUCGCACAAUCACUUCAAUGGAGCCUUCCCAUCAGACUACUUUGUGAAGUGGAGUGCUAUGUCAUCGCUUGUGACAAAUAAUGAUCGGCCGGAUGAAAGUUAUUUGCUCAAUUAAAAUUUGGGUUUAACGAACAUCUUCCAAUUUAUAACAAAAUUCCUCUUGGAUCAACCUAUAUUUUAAUUUCUUUGAUUGUCUUUUUAAUUGAAUCCAAGAGACAUCCAACUGAUUGGUUGGUACGUUAUCCUUUGAUUUUUCAACAUUAUACUUUGCAUUUUCUCUCCUUAUUUUCAACAACUUUCUCCCGCAACGUCAGUAAGCUUCUCAGUGAGGUCCUUGAAGAACAUAGACAAGAAACCGAUAACUCGUUGUCUUAUGAGACUGAUGUUCGUCUCAAGGAUCCUGUGUUACGGUUGCAUUGGAGCCAAUAGCUUCUCUGCAGAAGAAGAUGCUUGAGCUUCAACAUGAUAUAGCCAGUUGCUCGCUCUCGACCACUUGGCCAUUCUGGAGUUAACAACAACAAAGCUGCAGUCUACUUUGAUGCCGUUCUCUGAGUUUGAUCACGAGGAGAAGAGAAGCCUCAUGCAACGUUGCUUGUAGCAGCUUUUUUGAUAAUCUUGAGAGCCUAAUAUAGAUGUUUUAUGUAUCCAAUGUUAUAUCCUUUGCUUUUCGUGAAAGCUAUGAAUUGAAGCAUGUAAUUUCCAUGUCGUGGAUUCUUCACUAUGGUUUUUUUUUUCCAUAUAUGCUAUGGUUUUUGUUUAGCGUACGAAACAAGGAAACGAAGAGUGCGAGGAGACCUUCUUCGCGCCUAUUUCUCACGAAGAACUCUCGUGUCUCUACAACCUCUUCUUCACCCUCUCCCGUAAGCUCCUCACUUCAUUCCCUCUCUCCCUCAUCAUGCCUAAAUCCAACGACGGUGACGCCGUCGCAGAAUCCGAGUCGACGACAAGUGGGUCCAAGGGUGUGAAAACGACGCCGGAUUUGCGAUUUGGCAUUGGUAUUUGAUGGAUGUGUUCGUUUACUUCUCUCACUCUCUGGUGUCUCUUCCUCCUCCUUGCUGGACCAAUACAGCUCACAGGCAUGGCGUUAAGGUAAAGAAUGCAUUCUUGUGGAUACAUUAGUUGAUUUGGAUGUGGUUUCAUUAGAUUAUUGGAUUGAUACUUUCUUGUGUGUGUGUGUUAUGGAAACGUUAAUAGGUGUUGGGGACUUUCAUUACGGAAUGGGAUGAAGGUAAAGCUACCUGCAGUGAGAUGAUUGCCACUAAGGAGUCUGCUCAGAUGUAUGCUGAGCGUUUGGCUGAGCUUUCUAAUUCUCUAGGUUUCGAUGGAUGGCUGGUGAGUUUUGUCUUUGUCAUCUUAUUAUUGUUCAUGCUUGUUCUCUCCAGGUGGUGGUCACUUGUUGAGAAGUCAUGGGGAAUAGUCCAAACAUAUCCACAAGUCUUGCCUUUUUACUCUGACUUCAAUCAGGUAAAGUAUACAUCGACUGUCUUGGCUAUGAUUUAUGUUAAGUUAUCUUUUCUCGUUAAUCCAGGGCUUUGGUUACCAUGUUUCACUCGAGGGUCGCCAGUUAUCUGAUGCUCCAUGGUACAACAUUUCUUGCCAAAGUCUUCAGUUUCAACCAUCUUAUCGUCUUUGCUUUAACUGCACAUAUAAUAUUUUGUCUCUUCUCUCAUCUGAUGGGUGCCUUUGUUGUGUUAUUAAUGUUAGCCAAUCCUAGAGUUCAAGGAAGACAACACUGAUAUCAUUCAGCUCACUAUUGAGUGAGUUCUGACCCUGAUACUAAAAAAUGUUUUUGACUUCUUGUUGAUUUAGAUGCAUUUGUUUGCAAACGUAUAACGGUAAGCACAUGAAUUUGUUUAGUGCUCGAGAGGCAUCUUAUAACGGAGGAGGGAACAUUGUAUUUAAAGGAAGACUCGAAGGAGAUGUGUAUUUCACAGCAAGGCUCUUUAAACCUCUCCUUCACCUUUCUUCUUCCCCCAUCACAGUCUCCUACUCUGUAAGUCUUUGUUUUUAGAUACAUCACAUUACGAGAUCUUCUUGUUUUCUUUCUACUAAUGGAAAAUCUUGGAUUUGGUGCAGGUGAAAUCAGAUGAGACUUCUAAACUUGGACUCCUGCUUGGGUUUUCAUCACCAUCGCACCAAACUAAAUCCAUACUUGUGGCGCCACAAGAAACAACCCUAAGAUUAGAUCACAUGUUCUUGAAAUGCCUCGUCGCAUCAAAGCAGACUGUAUCCGAGUGGACGGUACACGAGACAAGCCUUGCCAUGGAUGGCUACACACUGACUGAAAUCUCUGCCUUUUGCUACAGAACAGAGAACUCGACGAAGACAUCAGAGUACGUUGCAUUGCUCGGUCACAUCUCAAUCAAAGAUCAUCAUGUUCAGCUACUCCAGCAAAACCUCGUUUCCUUACCUCCAGCGUCAUCAUGGGUCAUCGAGGCUCAUAGCAUAGAGCUUGUACCGGGUGAUUCCGGUUCUAAGAUCCUUAAGGUUAAGCUAGAAUGGAGACAGACACAGCUUGAAGACUCUGUUCUCCCAGUGUACAAUGUGUAUGCAGAGAGUGUGAAGUCAACUGAUGUACUAAGAUCGAGGAAGGUUUUGGAGAAACCAAGAAGCGAGAGAGUGUUCCUAGGAGUGUCUCACGUACCAGCCUAUUACGUUUCGGAGCUGGUGGUAGAUUCUGACGUGAAAGGAGUCAGCUUCGUGGUUCAACCGUGUGGUGAAGAUGGUUCAUGGAGUAAGCUGGAUGAUUCCCCUAACCUUCUUGUGGACUUGGAAGGUCUCUCGUAGGUUGCUUGAAACUAUAUAUGAAACGAUUAAUAAUGUAUAUUACAAAAUGACAUUAAUCUUGAAAAUGGGGGAAAACAUAAUAAAAAAAUCUGAACGAGCCUCUUCCGCAUGGAAGUUUUGGUUUCUCAUCACUAGUUGUCUCUUCUCUGUAUAUUUUAUCUAAUGAAAGUGAGAUGAUUAUCACCAAAACUUGUUAUUAUUGACGUGAGAAAGAAAAAAAUGCGGAAACUGAUUGGGUCAUCAACAUUUAUUUAUUUGUUUUUGGUUACUACAGCCAUAUAUUGAAAAAACAAGAAAGAGAUCGAGUAAAAUCUUGGUUUCUUCCUGACGAUCUCGCCCUGAGGAAUAUUAGUUGAAGAAUGUACUCACUAUGAUAUGGGCCAUAUGGCUCGAUCGCCAGUACAUUCACGACGAAGAGUUGAUUCUUCUGUCACGAAGAAUGUUCUCAUGCAGAUUGAUAUUUUUGUUCUUUUUGAUUGAUUUUUAGUAAAGAGUUUAUUCUUUUUGUCAUUUUGCAUAUAUUUCUCAUUUUGGAAGUCACGAGGAAUAAACUAAAAAUAAAAAUAAGACCGUUCGCCGUUGAUUUUUCUUGAAAAGGUUGAUGUUUGUUUUCUUCUUAUUAAUAUAGGAGAUUCAUGAUUCUUAUUUUGAAAUUCUAUCAAAAUUAAGCUAGUUUAGUAGUUAAAUUAGUUCUUUUUUUAAAGCAAGGAAUGUCAUAAAAUUUGAAUUUUUAAAUAGAAUAAGUAAAAAAGAUAAAACUUGUACUAUCAAAUCGAAAGACUACAGUAUAUGCAAAUAUGCAUGGGUCUCGUAAUCGUAAACGUUAGUACUUUUGGGUCAAUAUGCAUGGGUCGUUAGUAUACGUUAGUUUAAAUCCAAAUAUAAACCUAAGCAAAAUAAUACUUUAUAAAUUACGUCUUCUUUGGUUUAGAAAAUUCUUUUUUUUUUUUUUUGAAAAUUCAUGUAAUUAGGGUAGGGGACCAAUAUGUGUAGAAAAUUGACUAUCCGACACAAAGAUUUUGCUUUCGACGUGACGAAUAAUGUAUUUUUCUCUGUGGAUUUUGUUUUGUGUGGAGUAAAUACAGAGUCUGUUAUUGUGUAUAUAAAGAAAUGGCCAUGGAAGCAUGUAACUCAUCACCAAUUUCCCUUUUCUUUUUGCUCUUUCAGUUUUUGAUAUUCAAGAAAGUUAAAUAAGCUUAAAGAAGAAUGAAAGGCUUUUGGAACUUAACGAGUACCAUUUCUCUUACUCUUUCUAUACUUUUUUUAUUCGGCUACAGUUAUGAAGACGUGGCUGCGGUUCCAACUAAGCACUUGUGUCGUCCAGAUCAAAGGGAUGCACUUCUUCAGUUCAAGAACGAGUUUGAGGUUUUAAACUCUUCCUUAAAUUAUUAUUGUAUUAUCAAUAUAACUAUAGUAAAGCGCCUUCGGAAGACAGAGUCGUGGAUGAAUAACAGCGACUGCUGUAAUUGGGAGGGUAUCACGUGCAACCCCAAUUCCGGUGAAGUGAUCGAGCUAAACCUUAGUUGCAGCAACCUACGUGGCAAGUUUCAUUCUAAAAGCAGUCUUCGAAACCUUCAUUCUCUAACGACUCUACUCCUUUCAAAUAAUGAAUUUAGUGGUCCAAUCAUGUCUUUAAUUGGAAACCUUUCUCAUCUCACGUCUCAGGACCUUUCGCGAAAUGGUUUGAGCGAGUUCAUUCCUUCUUCGAUAGUAGACCUUUCUUAUCUCACCUUUCUCGAUCUUUCAUCUAAUAGUUUUUCUGGUCCGAUUUCGUCUUUGAUUGGAAACCUUUCUUAUCUCACCUUUCUCGAUCUUUCAUCUAAUAGUUUUUCUGGUCCGAUUCCAUCUUCAAUUGGAAAUCUUUCUCAUCUCACCUAUCUUAACCUUAAAGAUAGUGAAAUUUCGGGUACGAUUCCAUCUUCUAUUGGAAAUCUUUAUAACCUCACUUAUCUUGACCUUUCUUACAACAAUAUUGUUGGAGAAAUCCCAUCUUCUUUUGGCAAUCUAAACCAGUUGACCAGCUUAUCUGUUGGUCUCAAUAGGCUAAAUGGACGCUUUCCCAUUGCAAUACUAAAUUUGACAAAGUUGUCAUCUUUAGGACUCUAUGACAAUCAGUUCACAGGAACAAUUCCUCAUAACAUCACUUCACUAUCCAAAUUGACGACCUUUGAUGGAAGUAACAACGCUUUCACUGGGACCCUGCCUUCUUCUUUCUUCACCAUUCCUUCUAUGUAUAGUGUUGAUUUGUCUGAUAAUCAAUUCAACGGUAUUCUUGACCUUGGGAAUAUAUCUUCACCACCUCAGCUAGGACUGUUAUACGUUGGCAAUAACAACUUGAGAGGGCCAAUCCCAGCCACGAUAUCAAAAUUUACCAACCUUGUCGAACUUGAGCUUUCCCAUUACAAGACACAAGGUCCAGUUGACUUUAGUAUCUUCUCGCAUCUCAAGUUGCUCCAAGAUCUUGACCUAUCCUAUUUGAACACAACCACUGCCAUUGACUUGAAUGAUUUCUUGUCAUAUUUUAAGCGCCUCGGUGUGUUGGUUCUCUCAGGCAACCAUGUUACAGCCACAAACAAGAGUCCAGUUCCCGUUUCCCCUUUGUUGCAUCAGUUGCACUUGUCGGGCUGCGGUAUCACCAAGCUUCCGGAGUUUGUAAGAUUGAAAAAUUUGGAGAGUCUAGACAUUUCCAACAAUAAAAUCAAAGGGCAAGUGCCUGGCUGGUUAUGGACACUACCAAAGCUGAGUUACCUGGAUCUUUCUAACAACACUUUCACUGGCUUCAAAAGCUCAACGAAACAUGGACUAUCUUUAAAAUAUUUGUUAGCCUCUGACAACAAUUUCACAGGAGAGAUUCCCUCAUUCAUAUGCGAUCUGCGUGGUUUAUUCAUUCUUGAUUUAUCAAACAACAACUUCAGUGGUGUAAUCCCUCCUUGUAUGGAAAAUCUCUAUCUGGCAGUUCUAAAUAACAGCGACUGCUGUAAUUGGGAGGGUAUCACGUGCAACCCCAAUUCCGGUGAAGUGAUCGAGCUAAACCUUAGUUGCAGCAACCUACGUGGCAAGUUUCAUUCUAAAAGCAGUCUUCGAAACCUUCAUUCUCUAACGACUCUACUCCUUUCAAAUAAUGAAUUUAGUGGUCCAAUCAUGUCUUUAAUUGGAAACCUUUCUCAUCUCACCUCUCUGGACCUUUCGCGAAAUGGUUUCAGCGAGUUCAUUCCUUCUUCGAUAGUAGACCUUUCUUAUCUCACCUUUCUCGAUCUUUCAUCUAAUAGUUUUUCUGGUCCGAUUUCGUCUUUGAUUGGAAACCUUUCUUAUCUCACCUUUCUCGAUCUUUCAUCUAAUAGUUUUUCUGGUCCGAUUCCAUCUUCAAUUGGAAAUCUUUCUCAUCUCACCUAUCUUAACCUUAAAGAUAGUGAAAUUUCGGGUACGAUUCCAUCUUCUAUUGGAAAUCUUUAUAACCUCACUUAUCUUGACCUUUCUUACAACAAUAUUGUUGGAGAAAUCCCAUCUUCUUUUGGCAAUCUAAACCAGUUGACCAGCUUAUCUGUUGGUCUCAAUAGGCUAAAUGGACGCUUUCCCAUUGCAAUACUAAAUUUGACAAAGUUGUCAUCUUUAGGACUCUAUGACAAUCAGUUCACAGGAACAAUUCCUCAUAACAUCACUUCACUAUCCAAAUUGACGACCUUUGAUGGAAGUAACAACGCUUUCACUGGGACCCUGCCUUCUUCUUUCUUCACCAUUCCUUCUAUGUAUAGUGUUGAUUUGUCUGAUAAUCAAUUCAACGGUAUUCUUGACCUUGGGAAUAUAUCUUCACCACCUCAGCUAGGACUGUUAUACGUUGGCAAUAACAACUUGAGAGGGCCAAUCCCAGCCACGAUAUCAAAAUUUACCAACCUUGUCGAACUUGAGCUUUCCCAUUACAAGACACAAGGUCCAGUUGACUUUAGUAUCUUCUCGCAUCUCAAGUUGCUCCAAGAUCUUGACCUAUCCUAUUUGAACACAACCACUGCCAUUGACUUGAAUGAUUUCUUGUCAUAUUUUAAGCGCCUCGGUGUGUUGGUUCUCUCAGGCAACCAUGUUACAGCCACAAACAAGAGUCCAGUUCCCG
rnacentral:lncRNA from 1 species